rnacentral:rRNA from 1 species
AAAAUACGGGAGGCAGCAGUGAGGAAUAUUGGUCAAUGGGCGAGAGCCUGAACCAGCCAAGUAGCGUGCAGGAUGACGGCCCUAUGGGUUGUAAACUGCUUUUGUAUGGGGAUAAAGUCAGUCACGUGUGAUUGUUUGCAGGUACCAUACGAAUAAGGACCGGCUAAUUCCGUGCCAGCAGCCGCGGUAAUUUUU